CAAAAUGAAUUCUUCUAGAUAUCGAGUCCUUUCCCAAAUUGCCCGUGAUGUGUUGGCUAUUCCUGUCUCUACAGUUGCAUCCGAGUCUGCUUUUAGUACGGGGGGGCGUGUUUUGGAUUCGUUCCGUAGUUCACUAUCUUCUAAUACAGUUGAAGCCCUUAUUUGUACCCAAAAUUGGUUGAAAGAUGCAAAGGAAAAAAGACCAAUAAAGCUUCGGGAGUGCAUGGAUAAUGUGGAGGAUAUUGAUGGUUUUGAGAUUGACACUGAAAUUGCAUUGGUUUGCUCAAUGCCUAUGGAGGAGGAUCCAAGCACCGUUGUGUUGGAUGAUGAUGAGUGAUGUGUUACUCUUUACUUGGAGUUAGUUAGUAGUUAGUAUUAUUAUUUUGUAGGAGUUCUAAAAUGAUGCAUAGUGCACAGACUUACUGGAUAAUGGACUUACAAGAAUUAGCAUUCUUUUGCCAAUAUGCUAAUUAUAUUUGUACAUGUUAUUAGUAGUAGACUUUUCACUAAUGGUAGUUAUUUAGGUAUUCAUUGGUGGGAUUAUUUGUGGGGAUACAAGCAAUUAGCAUUCUUUUGCCUAAAUGCUAAUUUAAUUUGUAUUUAUUUCUUUUGGCAUUUGUGGACAGUGACAAAUGGUUCUGUAAUACGUUAUUAAGUAAAUACAUUAACACUUAUUGUUAUUGACACUGACACACAUAGUGACACUAAUGAUAUUAUAUGCUACAUGAUAGUAUUUUGGGAGUUGAACUCUUAUUUAGACAAUUUCAAAUAUGUUUGCAUGGUGAAUGAAAU